GCGAUCUACUCGGCGUCGCGCCGCCGGAUAACCGUAGUAAUUCGUAGGGCUAAUACGUGCGAAGCGCCGAAGCCGCGAGGCGACGGCGUUCUCGCCGGAUGUAGGAACCGACCCGGGGACCGCCGGGGCAACCCGGCGCCCCCGAGACGGGGCGAACCACGGUGAAAUGACGGAUCGUCGGCCCCGCGCCGGCGACUCGCCGAAUGAGUUUCUGACCUAUCAACUCGAGACGGCGGGGUAGAGGCCCGCCGCGGUAACGACGGGUAACGGGGAAUCAGGGUUCGAUUCCGGAGAGGGAGCCCGAGAAACGGCUACCACUUCCAAGGAAGGCAGCAGGCGCGCAACUUACCCUAAUCUCGAUUCGAGGAGGUAGUGACAAGAAAUACCGAUGCGGGACCCUACGGGUGCCGCGUUCGGAAUGAGUACGAUUCGAACCACCUAACGAGGAACGAUCGGAGGGCAAGUCUGGUGCCAGCAGCCGCGGUAAUUCCAGCUCCAAUAGCGUACGUUAAAGUUGCUGCAG
rnacentral:rRNA from 1 species